GGGAGGGCAGACAAACAGUAAGCACGAUCAGUAGGUAAAUAUUGUGUCAGAAGGCGGUGUGUUCGGAGAAAAUCGGCAGGGUUGAAAAUAUCUGUAUGUAUUAUUUGAGGAUUACAAUCUACAAGCAAUGCAUGGUCAUGUUUGUUUUGGAAGCUGGCACAAACAGAGGACAUUCCAGAGCCAUGACACGUCUCUUAGGAAAGAAGAAUUAUUUUUGCCAGUGGCAUAAAUAAAUCCAAGAACCAGUUCCAAUAAUCACAGUGCAUGCCAGCUCUCGAGUGCUCGCUGACAAACGCAGGAGGGAACCAGAAAACUGCCCAGAAAGGGCACUCGUGGUGGAGGGGCCCGCAGGCAAGUCAGGAUGCCAGGCCCGAGUUCUGCAGGAAGGGACAGCAGGAACGGGUCACCUCAGUCCCUCCUGCUGCAGUCUGAGCUCGUUUCUUCUUAUCUGCGUCCUGCUCACGACCCACCCAAUCACUAGUUCGUGCCAUUCUUCUCUGCCUGGAUGACGCCCAACCAACCGAGCCACAUUGGUCAGGGCUGUGCACCCUACUUUUAGCUGGUGGUAAAUGUUGCUCCAAUGUUGCUUCCCCUCCACAGCCACCCAACUUCCACCCCAAUUAACAUCACACUUUGUAAUGAGGUGCGAAGAC